UUUUUAUAAUCAAAAGGAACCAAAGUUCAUCAAAAGGAGCAUAGAAGAGGGAGAGAGAGAGGGAGAGAGAGAGAGUGACUGACCACACAACCCUUGCUCCACCAUUGUUGCGACCUCUUUCUGUAGUGAGAAACAAAAGAAGAAACGGGAAAGGAGAAGCCAAAAUCCAUAGGAGUAUGGCCCGCAGUCAAACCCUUCGUCAAUGGCGGAGCCUUUGGCAUGCACGCUACCUGUGUUAUCCAACCCAUCGACAUGAUCGGGGUAAGAGAGAAGUCGAGGAGGCGGUAGAGAAGAUAGUGAGUGCCAAGAAACAGAAGAUAGACGUUGGGACAAAGCAGGCUGUUGAGAAGAAAAAGAGUGAGGCUAAGACCGUGACGAAGAAAAUCAAUAAGAAACUAGUAGAUAAUUUUUGAGGAGAAGAAGAGUGAGGCUAAGACCAAUAUAAUUUUUAGACGAUUUGGAAUGUAUAGAUAAUUUUUGGAUAUUCAAAAUUUAUGGAGAGUUUUUUUUUUUUUGGAUGUUUGAAACAAUAUUUUGGUGGUUGAUUGAUAUUUAUAUAUAUGUUUGUAAA